rnacentral:siRNA from 1 species
CAAAUCACACGCAAUUGUUGC